AUACGUAGGUGGCAAGCGGUUAUCCGGAUUUAUUGGGCGUAAAGCGAGUGCAGGCGGUCUUUUAAGUCUGAUGUGAAAGCCUUCGGCUUAACCGAAGAAGGGCAUCGGAAACUGGGAGACUUGAGUGCAGAAGAGGAGAGUGGGAACUCCAUGUGUAGCGGUGAAAUGCGUAGAUAUAUGGAAGAACACCAGUGGCGAAGGCGGCUGUCUAGUCUGUAACUGACGCUGAGGCUCGAAAGCAUGGGUAGC
rnacentral:rRNA from 1 species